rnacentral:rRNA from 1 species
AGAACGAACGCUGGCGGCAUGCCUAAUACAUGCAAGUCGAACGAACACUUCGGUGUUAGUGGCGCACGGGUGCGUAACGCGUGGGAAUCUGCCCUUGGGUUCGGAAUAACAGUUGGAAACGACUGCUAAUACCGGAUGAUAUCGAAAGAUCAAAGAUUUAUCGCCCAGGGAUGAGCCCGCGUAGGAUUAGCUAGUUGGUGAGGUAAAGGCUCACCGAAGGCGACGAUCCUUAGCUGGUCUGAGAGGAUGAUCAGCCACACUGGGACUGAGACACGGCCCAGACUCCUACGGGAGGCAGCAGUAGGGAAUA